rnacentral:rRNA from 1 species
GAUGAACGCUAGCUACAGGCUUAACACAUGCAAGUCGAGGGGCAGCAUAGUCUUAGCUUGCUAAGGCCGAUGGCGACCGGCGCACGGGUGAGUAACGCGUAUCCAACCUGCCUUACACUCUUGGACAGCCUUCUGAAAGGGAGAUUAAUACAAGAUGUUAUCAUGAGUAAGCAUUUUCGCAUGAUUAAAGGUUUACCGGUGUAAGAUGGGGAUGCGUUCCAUUAGAUAGUAGGCGGGGUAACGGCCCACCUAGUCUUCGAUGGAUAGGGGUUCUGAGAGGAAGGUCCCCCACAUUGGAACUGAGACACGGUCCAAACUCCUACGGGAGGCAGCAGUGAGGAAUAUUGGUCAAUGGACGAGAGUCUGAACCAGCCAAGUAGCGUGAAAGAUGAAGGUUCUAUGGAUUGUAAACUUCUUUUAUACGGGAAUAAACGAAUCCACGUGUGGAUUUUUGCAUGUACCGUAUGAAUAAGGAUCGGCUAACUCCGUGCCAGCAGCCGCGGUAAUACGGAGGAUCCGAGCGUUAUCCGGAUUUAUUGGGUUUAAAGGGAGCGUAGAUGGGUUGUUAAGUCAGUUGUGAAAGUUUGCGGCUCAACCGUAAAAUUGCAAUUGAUACUGGCAGUCUUGAGUACAGUUGAGGUAGGCGGAAUUCGUGGUGUAGCGGUGAAAUGCUUAGAUAUCACGAAGAACUCCGAUUGCGAAGGCAGCUUACUGACCUGUAACUGACAUUGAUGCUCGAAAGUGUGGGUAUCAAACAGGAUUAGAUACCCUGGUAGUCCACACGGUAAACGAUGAAUACUCGCUGUAGGCGAUAUACAGUCUGCGGCCAAGCGAAAGCAUUAAGUAUUCCACCUGGGGAGUACGCCGGCAACGGUGAAACUCAAAGGAAUUGACGGGGGCCCGCACAAGCGGAGGAACAUGUGGUUUAAUUCGAUGAUACGCGAGGAACCUUACCCGGGCUUAAAUUGCAACCGAAUAUGGCGGAAACGCUAUAGCUAGCAAUAGCGGUUGUGAAGGUGCUGCAUGGUUGUCGUCAGCUCGUGCCGUGAGGUGUCGGCUUAAGUGCCAUAACGAGCGCAACCCUUGCCGAUAGUUACUAACAGGUUAUGCUGAGGACUCUGUCGGGACUGCCAUCGUAAGAUGUGAGGAAGGUGGGGAUGACGUCAAAUCAGCACGGCCCUUACGUCCGGGGCUACACACGUGUUACAAUGGGGGGUACAGAGGGCUGCUACCACGCAAGUGGAUGCCAAUCCCAAAAACCUCUCUCAGUUCGGAUUGAAGUCUGCAACCCGACUUCAUGAAGCUGGAUUCGCUAGUAAUCGCGCAUCAGCCACGGCGCGGUGAAUACGUUCCCGGGCCU